ACAGUCGGGCCUGAGGGAGGGCCCUCCGUGACCUUGUGUCGCGUUGUCAAGGACGACGGGACCUGCGCGCGGGCCCUGGGCCCUGGCCCGCCAGCUGGGCCUCACUUCGUGCAUCCCCUAAAUGGGGCCGACGCCCGCACACAGCCGGCUGUGAAAGGUGGCGCCGGGGCGGAAGCAGUGCUCGUCCCCGGGGCUUGACGAGUUUGGGGCUGCCGGCUCUACCGAGGCGGGCGGAGGAAGAGAUGGGGUGGGUUUCACUCCAAAACUUGAACUCAGGGGCCGCCCCACCGGCAGGACUGGGCAUAUUCAUUCUUUGCCUCCCGCCUUGCUGGAGGUGAGGCUGAAGUUGAGACCGCAACUCCUUUUAUUUUAAUUAAGAAAAAAAAAUUCUUUUUUUUUAAAUUGAAGUGUGGUUGACACGCAAAGUUCCAGGCAUGGAACGUAGUGAUUCAGCAGGGCCGCACCUCGUGCUGCGCUCACUCGCUGCGAGCUACCCUAGACACCCACGGCGCCACUCCUUCUCGGCCUGUGACUGUCGUCGCUGUGCCGUGCUUUUCCCGUCGCUGUGCGGUGCUUUUCCUGCCCAUGUCAACGCCCCUUCUCGCCGAGUGCCAUGGCUCAAAACGUGCCCGGGCGGCUCCCCAAGUGAUUCGGAGGCUCACCGACACAAUCCUGCGGAAACGGAGGUGCUCGAGAGCCUGAUGAGAGACUCAAACGCCUGAACCUUGAGAUCGUGACCUGAGCCGAAAUCAAGAGUCAUAAGCUCAGCCGACUGAGCCACCCAGGUGCCCCGGGAAGAUGGGAUUUUUUUUUUUUUUUAACCAACUUUAUAAACCUUCUUACAAGGUACCUUAAUUUUUGAAGCUCUAAAAAUAGGAGUAUUGAGGAGCCAGACAGUCCUGCAGAUGCUGGGUGUUGUCUCAAAGCUAUUACUGUUUUAGUGUUUGGGCCUCAGGAACAAGUGUGCCCACCCCCAGCAGGCACAGACCUGUACAGACCCCGUUUGGAACAAGGGCAGCUGCAGUGUGGAGACUCUGGCUGCAGCUUCAGAGGCAGUAACUCUCCCUGGCUUUUGGAGGCAUCAAAAUGUUCAAAUUCAGAGAAACAACUAAUGGCCUGGUAGGACCUGAUCAGGGUUUUGCGCGUCUCUCUCUCUUUUUUAAUGUUUAUUUUUGAGAGAGAGAGAGAGAGAGAGGCGCGGAGUGCGAGUGGGGGAGGAGAAGAGAGGGAGACACAGAAUCCAAAGUGGGCUCCAGGCUCUGAGCUGUCAGCACAGAGCCAGAGGCGGGGCUUGAACUCACGAACCAUGGGAUCAUGACCUGGGCCGAGGUCGAACACUUAACCAGCGGAGCCACCCAGGCACCCUGCGCGUCUCCUAAAGUCCUUUGUAGGACUUGACACCAACUCGGCAUGGUUCAGAACUCAGAAACAUAACCUUUUGCUGACUCACUCGACAGGCGUCUCGGUGUGUUUAAUGAACGUCAACCCUCUGCUAACUCCAGGUACCUGCCCACCGCAGUGCAAGAUCUGGUGAGAACCCAGGCCCCGACGCCCACUUGUACACCCGCUGACUGUGGGAUCUGGUCGGAAGCAAGACCUGUGGCCCUUUGUGGAGGCAGGUAUAGCCACUUAGGACCUGGCCUGGAACUAACUAGAACAUUUCUGAUUUCUCCAAAUCAUUUCUUCUGUUUGUCAGUGUCCACUUUUAAUUCCACCAUCAAAGACAUUCGAAAUGUCACAAGUCGAUUCCACAGAUCCCCCAAACUUUCAGGAGUGACUGGACCGAAGGCCUUUGUCCCUUUUCAUGCCUUACGGCAAUGGCAUUUGGUCCAGGCCCCUGCCCUUGGCAAUCCCGUGAACAUGGUCUGUGCCCCACCUAGUGGCUCCCAGCCUCCCUGUCCAGCAUUAACAACGUAAGAAAGCUGAGUCCAAACAACCACAAAGUGUCACUGCUGGGGUCUUUUCUGAGCACGUCUGGCUCAGGGGAAGCCAGGGUGAAGGAGGCAGCCACCUCUCCCACUGCAUGUAUUCCUGGAAACUUCCACUGGGGGAUACCACUUGGAGAACUAGCCUUGAGGGCAUGUUUGGAAAGAUGCCUUCUGUCCUGGCAAAGCACUCUGGUCACAUUUUCCCCCCAAUUUGUAGAUGAGGUCAUUGUAGGCACUGGAAUAAAAAAUGUCCACCCAAACUCAA